rnacentral:sRNA from 1 species
GGGGAGGAGGGGAGAACGGGGAGCGCAGCCUGGACGCGUGCGCAGGCGUCAGGCGCAGAGACCUGCUAGCCCCUCAGCUAGUGGCCCCGCCCGCGCUUAGCAUCACUAACUGGGCUAUAUAACCUGAGCGCCCGCGCGGCCAGGACACGAGGAAUUCGCCCACGCAGGAGGCACGGCGUCCGGAGGCCCCAGGGUUAUGAGACUAUCACUGCUCAGGACCUACUAACAACAAAGGUGAUUCUAAGUAUGACUUGCUAUGUAAAGAAGAAUUUAUUGAACUCAAAGACAUAUUCUCUGUGAAACUGAAACGGCGUUGUUCUGUUAAACAGCAGAGAAGUGGUACUUUAUUAGGUAUCACACUCUUCAUCUGCUUGAAAAAGGAACAAAAUAAACUAAAGAAUUCUACACUUGAUCUUAUUAAUUUAAGUGAAGACCACUGUGACGUAUGGUUUAGACAGUUCAAGAAAAUAUUGGCAGGCUUUCCAAACAGACCGAAGUCAUUAAAAAUACUCCUUAACCCCCAAAGUCACAAAAAAGAAGCUACCCAGGUUUAUUAUGAGAAGGUUGAACCUCUGUUGAAGCUUGCAGGAAUAAAAACUGAUGUAACAAUAAUGGAAUAUGAAGGGCACGCUCUGUCACUGCUUAAGGAAUGUGAACUCCAGGGAUUUGAUGGUGUUGUCUGUGUUGGUGGAGAUGGAUCUGCUAGCGAAGUAGCCCAUGCUUUGCUUCUGAGAGCUCAGAAGAAUGCUGGGAUGGAAACAGACCGAAUCCUGACUCCUGUCAGAGCGCAGCUUCCACUUGGCUUAAUACCAGCAGGAUCUACUAAUGUAUUGGCACAUUCUCUUCAUGGAGUUCCUCAUGUGAUAACUGCAACAUUGCACAUUAUAAUGGGGCAUGUACAGUUGGUCGACGUCUGCACCUUCAGCACCGCUGGCAAGCUUCUUCGCUUUGGGUUCUCAGCCAUGUUUGGCUUUGGUGGAAGAACUUUGGCUCUGGCAGAAAAAUAUCGAUGGAUGUCCCCUAACCAACGGAGAGAUUUUGCUGUUGUUAAGGCACUGGCAAAACUUAAGUAAGUCCUUUUCUUAAACCAAAAAUUUUGUAUCCCAGGUUCAAUGACUGUUAAUAACAAAUUUCAUUACAUUUUAGGGCAGAAGACUGUGAAAUAUCAUUUUUACCAUUUAACAGCUCUGAUGAUGUGCAAGAAAGGAGGGCACAGGGAUCUCCCAAAUCUGACUGUAAUGAUCAAUGGCAAAUGAUCCAGGGUCAGUUCUUGAAUGUCAGCAUUAUGGCAAUUCCUUGCCUGUGUUCAGUGGCACCUAGAGGCUUGGCACCUAAUACCAGAUUGAAUAAUGGAAGUAUGGCUCUUAUAAUUGCCCGAAACACUUCUCGACCAGAAUUUAUAAAACACCU